GUCAUCACUACGAUUUACACGGGUCAAUGUUUACUUUGCAAUUUCCUUCAAUCUAGACUAUUUGUAACCCUCGUUUCUAAAGGCUUCAAUUUUUCUAUUUUUUUUUUUUUUAGAAAACUAAAAUCCACGAAUUUAAAAACCCACGAACAUGUAAAUAUUGCUCAAACCACGAAAAUUGAUACCCACGAAUUAAAGUACUUUCACAGUA
rnacentral:lncRNA from 1 species